rnacentral:rRNA from 1 species
UACGUAGGGUGCAAGCGUUAAUCGGAAUUACUGGGCGUAAAGCGUGCGCAGGCGGUUAUAUAAGACAGAUGUGAAAUCCCCGGGCUCAACCUGGGAACUGCAUUUGUGACUGUAUAGCUAGAGUACGGCAGAGGGGGAUGGAAUUACGCGUGUAGCAGUGAAAUGCGUAGAUCGGCGGAGGAAAACCGAUGGCGAAGGCAAUCCCCUGGGACUGUACUUACGCUCAUUAACGAAAGCGUGGUGAGCAAACAGUAUUAGAUACCCCCGUAGUCC